GCAAAAGGCGGCAAAACGAAUUCUUCCCCUCUUUUAUUUUUCACUUUGGUUCUAGGUUUUCCCUCUCUACACAGUUAGAACUGAAUUUGGUAGGUCUCUUCCUUAAUUGUAUUCCCACUUCCCUUCCUUCAAAUUCUAGAUUUGUUUUUGAGAUUUUAAUCAUCCUGAGGCCAUCAGAGAUAUCUACAAAGUAGAUAUACCUAUUUUCUACUCCAAGUGUCUCCAAUUAGUACAAGAUUCAAGACUUGAGCUUCAAUUUCUCGUGGAAAAGGACAUGUCGUUGAGUUCUCCCAGUUUCCAGAAUUCCCUAUCACAGGGUAGUAGGUAAGUUCAAGAAGUCUAUUUUUUCUAUAGCUCUUCCUCAAUUUCUCUUUGAUAUUUUAGAAUUAAGUAUGUGGUUUAGAAUUAGACCUCUUUAUACAAAAAGUGACAACUCCUAAAUUAAUAAAUAUAACAUGAUAAGAUAGUUCUAGUUACGCUAUAGAAAAAUUGAAUUUCCUUUUCUAGUUGUUGUCAUUAUUAUGUUUUGGUGCCAAUUUGGUUAUGAGAAUUUUCCUUUAAUUCAGGUCAUCACACAUUUUUUAUGGAUGUUGUAAAAAUAGCAUCUGUAAUGGAGAAAGUGAAAAUGAAUAUUAGCGUCGAAGUUCUUAUUUGUUGUUUUAAUUGAGAAGUUCUGAAUCUUGAAACCAUUGUGGGAAUAUAUAUCUCAUUAAAUAGACUUGCAGAUUACUACUAUUUGCAGGACAAAAAGCAUGUAUUCUGUGUUAAUAUGUAGAAUUCUUAGUACUAUAUUACUUGUGACAUGCUCAAAUUACUUGGUUACAUGUAGCUUCAUAUCAUUGUAAUAUUUGAUCUGUAAUGUUGUGAAGAAUAUGUUCAAGGCUUAUAUUCGCAAAAUUAAUUUUCACCAUGAUAUGUCACUUCCGAGUCAUUCAAAGGGCAUCCUGCAUCCUUAUAGAUGAGUAUUAGAGAGGAGUUCCUCUACUUGUCAGCUUUAUGCUAUGGCCUUAGAAGAUAUGGAUUCCUUAACUUUUGAGCUCCUAGGUUUACUCCAAGGUAAAUGAACUUGAACAUUUUCCUUUUUCUAAUAUCAGGUACAUAGUCUCUGAUAUACAUUUGUAGAUAUCCUUUCUCAGGUACCGGAGGAGGUGGACCUUAGUAUGGAUCAGUUCAUUGACUUGUGCAUUCUAUGUGGAUGUGAUCACUGUGAUGGCAUCCGAGGGAAUGGAGAGAGGGUUAGGCCAACAACUGAUGCCAAUUCUAGAGUCUGUCUUGAGUGUUGGAUUGGUGGAGGCAUGGAUGCAUGUGGUAUAUGGUGCAUGUUAAAUUGGACAUAACAUAGCUUAAUGCUUGGGUGCUUCGUCGCUUUACAAGAUGCAGAUUCAAUUGGAAUCAAGAAAGUUCGUGGAAAGCUAGAAGAAAGGUCUUGCAAAAUGAAGUAGUCUAUUGGGAAAAAAAUGAUAUCAGAGAUCUAGUUGGUAAAGGAAAGUCUAUUAAGGCAAUUCACAAAUUAGCUAUCAAUGGAGUUGGGAAUAACAACUCAAAUAUUCUUUUGCUUCAAACAAGCAAUGGGCUCACAAGAUAGGAGAGAGACUCAACUACAUUGUAUUUUUCAAACUAAUCACAUUUUUGUCACAAGACAUUAUUUUGUCAUAAAUUGUGACAAUAUAGUAUUUGUCCUAGAAUUGCCUUCUAAUCAUUAAUAUAAUUCAUUCUUUAAGUACAAAUUAAA